rnacentral:rRNA from 1 species
CACGCCGGCGUGAACGAAGAAGGUUUUCGGAUCGUAAAGUUCUGUUGUUAGGGAAGAACAAGUGCCGUUCAAAUAGGGCGGCACCUUGACGGUACCUAUCGAGGAAGCCCCGGCUAACUACGUGCCAGCAGCCGCGGUAAUACGUAGGGGGCAAGCGUUGUCCGGAAUUAUUGGGCGUAAAGCGCGCGUAGGCGGUUUCUUAAGUCUGAUGUGAAAUCUUGCGGCUCAACCGCAAGCGGUCAUUGGAAACUGGGGAACUUGAGUGCAGAAGAGGAGAGUGGAAUUCCACGUGUAGCGGUGAAAUGCGUAGAUAUGUGGAGGAACACCAGUGCCGAAGGCGACUCUCUGGUCUGUAACUGACGCUGAGGUGCGAAAGCGUGGGGAGCGAACAGGAUUAGAUACCCUGGUAGUCCACGCCGUAAACGAUGAGUGCUAGGUGUUAGGGGGUUUCCGCCCCUUAGUGCUGCAGUUAACGCAUUAAGCCUCCGCCUGGGGAGUACGGCCGCAAGGCUGAAACUCAAAAGAAUUUGACGGGGGGCCCCGCACAAGCGGUGGAGCAUGUGGUUUAAUUCGAAGCAACGCGGAAGAACCUUAACCAGGUCUUGACAUCUUCGGAUGACCCUAGAGAUAGGGAGUCCCUUUCGGGGACCGAAUGACCAGGUGGUGCAUGGUUGUC